GACAAACGCUGGCGGCGUGCCUAAUACAUGCAAGUAGAACGCUGAAGAGAGGAGCUUGCUCUUCUUGGAUGAGUUGCGAACGGGUGAGUAACGCGUAGGUAACCUGCCUUGUAGCGGGGGAUAACUAUUGGAAACGAUAGCUAAUACCGCAUAACAAUGGAUGACACAUGUCAUUUAUUUGAAAGGGGCAAUUGCUCCACUACAAGAUGGACCUGCGUUGUAUUAGCUAGUAGGUGAGGUAACGGCUCACCUAGGCGACGAUACAUAGCCGACCUGAGAGGGUGAUCGGCCACACUGGGACUGAGACACGGCCCAGACUCCUACGGGAGGCAGCAGUAGGGAAUCUUCGGCAAUGGGGGCAACCCUGACCGAGCAACGCCGCGUGAGUGAAGAAGGUUUUCGGAUCGUAAAGCUCUGUUGUAAGUCAAGAACGAGUGUGAGAGUGGAAAGUUCACACUGUGACGGUAGCUUACCAGAAAGGGACGGCUAACUACGUGCCAGCAGCCGCGGUAAUACGUAGGUCCCGAGCGUUGUCCGGAUUUAUUGGGCGUAAAGCGAGCGCAGGCGGUUUGAUAAGUCUGAAGUUAAAGGCUGUGGCUCAACCAUAGUUCGCUUUGGAAACUGUCAAACUUGAGUGCAGAAGGGGAGAGUGGAAUUCCAUGUGUAGCGGUGAAAUGCGUAGAUAUAUGGAGGAACACCGGUGGCGAAAGCGGCUCUCUGGUCUGUAACUGACGCUGAGGCUCGAAAGCGUGGGGAGCGAACAGGAUUAGAUACCCUGGUAGUCCACGCCGUAAACGAUGAGUGCUAGGUGUUGGAUCCUUUCCGGGAUUCAGUGCCGCAGCUAACGCAUUAAGCACUCCGCCUGGGGAGUACGACCGCAAGGUUGAAACUCAAAGGAAUUGACGGGGGCCCGCACAAGCGGUGGAGCAUGUGGUUUAAUUCGAAGCAACGCGAAGAACCUUACCAGGUCUUGACAUCCCGAUGCUAUUUCUAGAGAUAGAAAGUUACUUCGGUACAUCGGUGACAGGUGGUGCAUGGUUGUCGUCAGCUCGUGUCGUGAGAUGUUGGGUUAAGUCCCGCAACGAGCGCAACCCCUAUUGUUAGUUGCCAUCAUUCAGUUGGGCACUCUAGCGAGACUGCCGGUAAUAAACCGGAGGAAGGUGGGGAUGACGUCAAAUCAUCAUGCCCCUUAUGACCUGGGCUACACACGUGCUACAAUGGUUGGUACAACGAGUUGCGAGUCGGUGACGGCAAGCUAAUCUCUUAAAGCCAAUCUCAGUUCGGAUUGUAGGCUGCAACUCGCCUACAUGAAGUCGGAAUCGCUAGUAAUCGCGGAUCAGCACGCCGCGGUGAAUACGUUCCCGGGCCU
rnacentral:rRNA from 1 species